rnacentral:rRNA from 1 species
GCGAGAAAACUUUGCAAUGUGCGAAAGCACGACAAGGUUAAUCCGAGUGGUUUCUGCUAAAGAAACCUUUUGUCAGUCCUAGAAACACUAACGAAUAAGGGGUGGGCAAGUUCUGGUGUCAGCCGCCGCGGUAAAACCAGCACCUCAAGUGGUCAGGAUGAUUAUUGGGCCUAAAGCAUCCGUAGCCCGUUUUGUAAGUUUUCGGUUAAAUCCAUGCGCUUAACGUAUGGGCUGCCGGGAAUACUGCAUAACUAGGAAGUGGGAGAGGUAGACGGUACUCGGUAGGAAGGGGUAAAAUCCUUUGAUCUAUUGAUGACCACCUGUGGCGAAGGCGGUCUACCAGAACACGUUCGACGGUGAGGGAUGAAAGCUGGGGGAGCAAACCGGAUUAGAUACCCAGGUAGUCCCUGAGCGGGCUGGCAAGGCGCAU